CCGCUGGUUUUACCGUCGGGAGAGAACCAAUCCCUCGCUAGCCCGGCCUCGUCUCCCGUCUCCAGUCGCAGCCGCCGCCGCACCCCAAUCCAACCCCGCCGCCGGCGAUCUCCUCGCCCCCCUGCGCCGGCGCCCCCAACCUUCUAUUCCUCUCCCAAGGGAAUCCCAAGGGAAGGGAAGGCAGGGGAAGGGAAGGGAAGGGAGAGGGAGCGCCCAGAUCCACGACGGCAUCUGCACUUCGCCCCCGCCGCUGCAUCCCUUCGCCGGUGCCCUCCCAGUUCAAAGCCGCCACCGCUUUGCUUCAUGAACCGGCGACGAUCUACUUGUGGAGUCGCACGACGAUCCCUUCCCGGAUCCGCCGCCGAUCACUUUCAGGAUCCGCCACGGAUCACUUCCAGGAUCCGCCGCCGACCACUUCUAGGAUCCGCCGCGUACCGCCUACAGGAUCCGCCGCCGAUCACUUCAAGGUUCCGCCGCGUACCGCCUAUAGGAUCCGCCCGUUCGUGGGGCAGCUAGCUUUGCUGAUGCAUAUGCCGACAUGAUAAACAAGAUAUGCAUGCAUAUUUUAAUUUUAUUUGGAGAUAAGAUAUAUAUGCGAUACUAAUUGCUAAGUCGAGGAAGCAAGGUGUGUAGGUUCUCCUUGAUACUGUUUUUUUUUCUACAUUGUCGCACACUUGAAAAACAAUCCUUGCGUUUAGCCAAUAGUGUGUAGCUUCUCCUCGAUAUUGAUUCUCAUACUUACAGUGUUGGAUACUUCGCUUAACACAAAACUGGAACAUGAAACACUGAUGCAGGUUUCAUGAUGGAACUGGAAAGGCCCUUUUGAAUGUAUGAGAACAUCUACAAACCAAUAUUGUGCAAUAGUAUAUACUCGUUGAUGUGUUGGGGAUGAUGAGAUUUUUGUAACCAACGGUUUCUGAGCUAACAUCGAAACAUAAGAUGUAUAUCUCACGCUGGACCAUUAAAAACAUUAGAUUUCCCUACAUGUCUGUCAUCGAACAUCAGAACUACUAUUUCAAAUUCAUUGGCAUUUGGUGCUAUGUUCUGUACCAUAUCAGAACUAUUUCCCUUUUAUUUUGGUGUGGAUAUAUACAUGUACGUACACGCAUAUUAACUAUUGGACUAUGCAUCAGCAUUAAUAUUUACACAUUACAAUGUACAUUCAUACAUUCAUUUCGUACAGAGAUCGGGACAAAGGAGUUCUGAAGAAGAAGAUUCAUCUACAGAAUAUAUAAUAUGCAUUGAAGAAAACAGAGAUUCAUCUUGGUGAGCACUAACCGUUCAUUAUAGAUUGUUGGCGAGAUAAGUUGCUCCUAUGACUAAAAUUGUGCCGGCGCUCUGAUUUACUACUGGGUGCCCUUUCUAGAGGUAAAUUUUAUUAUUAUUUUGGUCGUGUACGUGUGUGGGGGGAGGGUGUCUUGAUUGAUUCACUAACUGUUCUAGCUUUGACGUUGUAUGUCAUCAGCUUGGGUUUGUUCCAUCAGACUUUUCACACAUUAUAUGACUUCGUUAGAAUUCAGGUUGCGUUCUGUCUUUUACUUUAGAAAAAUAGCGAGUGAACCUUUUUUGAAAUUCGGUCUGCCACAUAGAGAGGAACUCAUUGGCUCCCCGGCACCAUCGAGCACUGAGGUUGACCAAACAAGUGUGUGAACAUUUAUGAGAUUUGUAAUUUGAAAACUAUAUAAAGCCAAAUAACUAUGAACACACCCUUGGAAUAAAUGUGAAAGGAGAAUCUGCGGUCUUACCGGAAAAAAUUGAAACAUUAGCUAGGAUUUGUUGGUUAGAUUCAUGUUGCUCCAUCCAUUUACUAUCAGUUCCUUUCAUAUAUUGCUUCCAUCAGAACAUGUUGACCUGAUUGUCCAUGGUUACACUCAUCUUCAAAUGGCACAACUUGUUUUGCUGCCACAUCUUCUCUUACCAUACGAUGAAUAGGUACUAUGUUCCAUCCCUCUCUUAUUUCACACUGCAUUAACAAUGUUUUUUCAGUGUGUCGAUUUGCCUAACUAUGCCUUGUUGAUUACUGAUUUUGUUACUAAUGUGUACACAAACCCUGCCUAAUUAAUUUAGUCCACUAUAUCUAACCAUAUGAAAGUGAAAGUUGAUUCUGACUACUUGCCUGGUGGUACGGUACAUUACCUCUUUUUCAAAUUAUGAGAGCGGAACGACAGCGUUGGCGUGGACGACUCGGAGCUCAACCCCGUCAAGGGCCGCGAGCAGGAGCGGCUUUCUUUUCAACAAGAAGAUGACCAAGGUCCAAGGGCGCCGCCAGCCACUUUGUCGUUGUCAUCGAAGAGUCCAAGAUUGUCCCCGCAUCGGUUGCAUUGGUGCCGAUCAGGUGCUAAUCUGAAUCCUUGUCCAAUUGCAAGUGGCCUAUAAAAAACCCUGGGUUGAAUGCACAUUACCAUCACACUGCCAUGUAAUUUUUGUUGGUACACAAUCAUGUUGCUGCAGUUCUAUUUAUAGACUUUUUGGUCAUUUUGUCUUUGUCUUUGUCCAUGGUCAGAUCAUGUUUUUAAGCUUGAUUGUUAUGAGUCAGUAAGGUGAGAAUGAGCGGUAAUGGUUUAACUAAUCAUCCCAUCAUGUUUUUAGUAUCACUAAUUUAUUUAUGCUAAUUCUUUCAACAUUCUUGCCGUUGAUGAUUCUAAAAGGUAAAGAGAAAUGUUAAAGAAUUCAUCUUCUGCUAUGGCACGCAACCCCGCCGGCUCCAUGGAUGUCUACGCAGUCAUCGUCCUUAACUGCUGUCUAGCGUCCAGGUCUGCGCGGUUGGGGCGUCAAUCACGUGUUCAGCGGCAUGUCAGAGCAACUCUCUGGCCAGAACCCUGACUAUGUGCGCUUCAGGUAAUGCAAUCCGCCAGAUAUGUAUGUUCACGUUUGUCAGUUGGGUUACACUAGGAGCAGGGGAUGUGCACAAGAAUUUUCCUGCCCAUGUGGUUGCCGGUCUUCUGGAUUGGUUUGGAUGCUAUAAAAAAAAGUAGAACCAGUUCCACCAAAAUCGAUACUAGGCUACUAGCAGUACCAUUGUCUUUGUCAAUUUUGUACCUGCCAUAGUAAGAUGACCCCUAUUCUUAAGAAUACAUAAUAGAUGAUAUUGUAGUGUUAUGAGAUUAGCUUUUACUUCUGUCCAUCGAUUGCUACAGAUUUUGGGAGAACACUGUUGUCCACGUUAUAUCAUAUACUUCCAAAUUAUAAAGCGUUCUUGUUGUAUGUAAGUUACCUAUUAUCCACAGAAUACAAGUAGUGGUUCAGAGCUACAGAGAAAAGUCUAAGAUAUUCAUCGUUAUUUCUCCAGUAAGAUAUCCCCCUUCGUUAAUACUGCCCUAUUCCUUUUCCCUUUUUCACGAAAGUGGAAGGAGUGAUGAAGAACUGAAACAUAGUUACAGUGGGCGUUUUUUAUAGGAACAAACUGAAGAAUUUGACAUUAACAUAAUUGUAGUACUAAUUCAGGUGUCCCUGGUUUUAUUACCACUAGAACAUGUUGACCUAAUUGUCCAUGGUUACACUCAUUUUCAAAUGGCACAACUUGUCUUGUUGCACAUCUUCAAAAUCGUUAAUAGGCUACUAGCAGUACCAUUGUAUUUGUCAAUUUUGUACUCCCUCCGUAAACUAAUAUAAGAGCGUUUAGAAUACUAAAGUAGUGAUCUAAAUGUUCUUAUAUUAGUUUACAGAGGGAGUACCUGGCAAAGUAAGAUGACCCCUAUUCUUAAGAAUACAUACCUGAGAAUAUUGUAGUGUUAGGAGAUUAGCUUUUACUUUUUUCCAUUGAUUGCUACAGAUUUUGAGAGAACACUGUUGUCCACGUUAUAUCGUAUACUUCCAAAUUAUAAAGAGUUCUUGUUAUAUGUAAGUUCCCUAUUAUCCACACAAUCCAAGCAGUGGUUCAGGACUACAGAGAAAGAAAGCACCAAUAACUUGUUUUUUCAUUUCUUUUUGGUGAUAAAACUGGAUUUUGCUUUUCCAUGAUCAUGUGUCGGUGCCUUUGUCUCUAUCAAAUAUUAGGGGUAAUGAAUUUUCCUGUGCUGGAUCAACAUGCAGAUCCUGCCCACCUUGAAGUCAUAAAUCCAGUGAAGUCAAUUUCAGUAUAUUCAGGACAUAGCCAGUAGCUUAGCAAUUUCCACGAGUAUGUUUUGUUUACAAUAAAGUUGUGUGCAAAAUGUAUAUGCUACAUUAUGCAUGAUUCUCUCUUUUAUCAAAGUAUAUCCAUGUGUUUAUUU